GUCCGUCGAAAACAUUGGCGGAUAACAUCGAAAAAUACUUAUUUCGCCUCUUUCUCUCUUUCUUUUUUUCUUUCCUCCCAUCUCCUCCCCCACUGCAGAACCCUCCAAAGCUGGUGCCAUUGAAGACGGAGUAGGUGGGCAGCAGCGGCACCGGUGGACUCCGACAGUAUUCUCUUCCUCUACACUCAGCGACAGUGUUCUAGUGGUGCUCUUCUACGAUUGCAAGGUUUUUUCCAUCCUUUCAGGCCGCACAUAUGGUUGUGGAAUCUAUGAAGACAUUAUUUUAUGAGCCGUGAAAUUCCUGGAGAGAGAUACCAUACCAAAUUAGAUUGAAUAUGUGGCUUAAAUUUAAGAGUAAGUGUGUAUGGCAGCCUCCACAUGAAAUUCAGGUGAAUGCAAAUUUCGAGAAGAUAGCUAAAAAAGGAUUAAAGAUACUCAUUUUGUUGCUCGGGGAGGUGGGAGCAGACCAUAAUGGUUGCGUCAAGAUGUCUGGGUUCAACUAUUGGAGAAGUGGAACACCGAUGAAUGGAAGCAGAAGAGUGAAAAAGCGAAGGAAAACAGAGCCUCCAGUAAAGGUGGCUCUGUCACGACCCAAAACUCACUAUAGGCCGUGAUGGCGCCCAACGUCGUCGUUAGGCAAGUCAAUGGUGAACUACCAACUUAAUUAUGAACUUUAUUAUUCUCGAAAUCAUGAAUUUUAUUAGAUAAAGAAAUCAGCGUAUUAAAAUCA